UGUGAGCUCGAUGAGUAGGGCGGGACACGUGGUAUCCUGUCUGAAUAUGGGGGGACCAUCCUCCAAGGCUAAAUACUCCUGACUGACCGAUAGUGAACCAGUACCGUGAGGGAAAGGCGAAAAGAACCCCGGCGAGGGGAGUGAAAAAGAACCUGAAACCGUGUACGUACAAGCAGUGGGAGCACAGAGCAAUCUGUGUGACUGCGUACCUUUUGUAUAAUGGGUCAGCGACUUAUAUUCUGUAGCAAGGUUAACCGAAUAGGGGAGCCGAAGGGAAACCGAGUCUUAACUGGGCGUUAAGUUGCAGGGUAUAGACCCGAAACCCGGUGAUCUAGCCAUGGGCAGGUUGAAGGUUGGGUAACACUAACUGGAGGACCGAACCGACUAAUGUUGAAAAAUUAGCGGAUGACUUGUGGCUGGGGGUGAAAGGCCAAUCAAACCGGGAGAUAGCUGGUUCUCCCCGAAAGCUAUUUAGGUAGCGCCUCGUGAAUUCAUCUCCGGGGGUAGAGCACUGUUUCGGCAAGGGGGUCAUCCCGACUUACCAACCCGAUGCAAACUGCGAAUACCGGAGAAUGUUAUCACGGGAGACACACGGCGGGUGCUAACGUCCGUCGUGAAGAGGGAAACAACCCAGACCGCCAGCUAAGGUCCCAAAGUCAUGGUUAAGUGGGAAACGAUGUGGGAAGGCCCAGACAGCCAGGAUGUUGGCUUAGAAGCAGCCAUCAUUUAAAGAAAGCGUAAUAGCUCACUGGUCGAGUCGGCCUGCGCGGAAGAUGUAACGGGGCUAAACCAUGCACCGAAGCUGCGGCAGCGACACUAUGUGUUGUUGGGUAGGGGAGCGUUCUGUAAGCCUGCGAAGGUGUGCUGUGAGGCAUGCUGGAGGUAUCAGAAGUGCGAAUGCUGACAUAAGUAACGAUAAAGCGGGUGAAAAGCCCGCUCGCCGGAAGACCAAGGGUUCCUGUCCAACGUUAAUCGGGGCAGGGUGAGUCGACCCCUAAGGCGAGGCCGAAAGGCGUAGUCGAUGGGAAACAGGUUAAUAUUCCUGUACUUGGUGUUACUGCGAAGGGGGGACGGAGAAGGCUAUGUUGGCCGGGCGACGGUUGUCCCGGUUUAAGCGUGUAGGCUGGUUUUCCAGGCAAAUCCGGAAAAUCAAGGCUGAGGCGUGAUGACGAGGCACUACGGUGCUGAAGCAACAAAUGCCCUGCUUCCAGGAAAAGCCUCUAAGCAUCAGGUAACAUCAAAUCGUACCCCAAACCGACACAGGUGGUCAGGUAGAGAAUACCAAGGCGCUUGAGAGAACUCGGGUGAAGGAACUAGGCAAAAUGGUGCCGUAACUUCGGGAGAAGGCACGCUGAUAUGUAGGUGAAGCGACUUGCUCGUGGAGCUGAAAUCAGUCGAAGAUACCAGCUGGCUGCAACUGUUUAUUAAAAACACAGCACUGUGCAAACACGAAAGUGGACGUAUACGGUGUGACGCCUGCCCGGUGCCGGAAGGUUAAUUGAUGGGGUCAGCGCAAGCGAAGCUCUUGAUCGAAGCCCCGGUAAACGGCGGCCGUAACUAUAACGGUCCUAAGGUAGCGAAAUUCCUUGUCGGGUAAGUUCCGACCUGCACGAAUGGCGUAAUGAUGGCCAGGCUGUCUCCACCCGAGACUCAGUGAAAUUGAACUCGCUGUGAAGAUGCAGUGUACCCGCGGCAAGACGGAAAGACCCCGUGAACCUUUACUAUAGCUUGACACUGAACAUUGAGCCUUGAUGUGUAGGAUAGGUGGGAGGCUUUGAAGUGUGGACGCCAGUCUGCAUGGAGCCGACCUUGAAAUACCACCCUUUAAUGUUUGAUGUUCUAACGUUGACCCGUAAUCCGGGUUGCGGACAGUGUCUGGUGGGUAGUUUGACUGGGGCGGUCUCCUCCUAAAGAGUAACGGAGGAGCACGAAGGUUGGCUAAUCCUGGUCGGACAUCAGGAGGUUAGUGCAAUGGCAUAAGCCAGCUUGACUGCGAGCGUGACGGCGCGAGCAGGUGCGAAAGCAGGUCAUAGUGAUCCGGUGGUUCUGAAUGGAAGGGCCAUCGCUCAACGGAUAAAAGGUACUCCGGGGAUAACAGGCUGAUACCGCCCAAGAGUUCAUAUCGACGGCGGUGUUUGGCACCUCGAUGUCGGCUCAUCACAUCCUGGGGCUGAAGUAGGUCCCAAGGGUAUGGCUGUUCGCCAUUUAAAGUGGUACGCGAGCUGGGUUUAGAACGUCGUGAGACAGUUCGGUCCCUAUCUGCCGUGGGCGCUGGAGAACUGAGGGGGGCUGCUCCUAGUACGAGAGGACCGGAGUGGACGCAUCACUGGUGUUCGGGUUGUCAUGCCAAUGGCACUGCCCGGUAGCUAAAUGCGGAAGAGAUAAGUGCUGAAAGCAUCUAAGCACGAAACUUGCCCCGAGAUGAGUUCUCCCUGACUCCUUGA
rnacentral:rRNA from 1 species